UCAGCAGUGAUUGUGUGUAUCGUCUUUGUGUCAUAACAUAUACACUUUGAUCGAAAGAUUUCCCUGCAACAUAAAAUCAUUCAUUUGACGGGGAAGAUGGGCAGUUGUUCUUCAAUCCUGUUGAAUGAUCAACAAUCAUCUUCCCCACAUCA